rnacentral:misc_RNA from 1 species
AAAGCAAAUUGAAUAUUAAAUAAGUUGAUGUCUCUCCCACAAUACAUGAUACAAGCUCCGAAAGGCCAAAAAGGGAGAACCCCUCUGACUUGCCUUCAGGCAAAAAACGUUUGAAAGAAAAAUGAUAAUUUCUUCCGAAUGAUAAAAUCAUAUAUGCCAAAAAAAAAAGCAUUAGUUUAUUGAAAGCGUCGUUUUAGUGCAAGUUAGGCGAACUUAUCGGCCAUCUGAAGUAGGGGCCAGAGGGUGCUAUGUCUUCUUAAUGGAAAUCGUCCAAAGAAGAUCUGAACUGGACUGUACGGUUACCUUCUCUCCUUUGACUAUGUUCGAUGUACUUAUUAGACCACCAAAAGUCAUCUCCAUGUUAGCUGAAAGAAACGAAAUAUAAAUUUUACCAUCCAUGAUACUUGUAUGGCACAUGAUAUAAUCCCAGAAUAAAAUCUAUCAGAACUGUUUUAAUCAUGUCAAAAUGAAGCUCCAGAUUUUUUUGGCUUUGGUUGUUUGGUAAUCAUUCAGUUGCAUUCACCAAUCACAAUCAUAUGAUUGUAUACCACAAGGUCUAUAGGAGCUGUAGUCUCUUAAGCCACGCAAAACACAAAACAUGCAAGUAUGACAAAGAUAUGAUUUACAGACAACAGUAGAGUCAGAUUUUAGCUCAGCUAGUUACAGCUUAUUAGCUAAGAAAGGAAGAAUUAAUGCUAUAUACUUACUGAGAUCCCAUUGGAGUCCAGUUGUUGUGGUAUUUCCAGAUGGCAUCCCUAUGGGAAUGAGUCCGCAAUUUGGACCCUCAACAGAGGAUUGGAUAUAAAUCUCAUGAUAGUGAGACCUUGGAAGGAGGUAGAUGAGGCAGUCAUCAGAUAUAAGAAUUAUUCUCAUGGUUGAGAAACGAUAUAAAACAUUUAUGUUUCCAGCCUCAUGGUCAAAUCGUCCACCAAGCGCACCAGCCACAAGAAUGCAAAGAUUAGAUUUGUCCAAGUUUGGAGUGAAGUCACGAAUAUAUGAAAUGCACUUAUGUAGAUCUGUGGUGUCUUGAUCAUGAGAUUCAUCAACAACCUUGGUUCCCAAGCUGGUAUAGAAGUCCAGUACUUCUGUUCGGAUUGAAUCCAUGUCUCCCUUGAUUACAUCUGGCUUGUACCUGUGCCGAACGUCGAGAGCAUCUUCGUGCGGGAACAACAAAGGCAUUUCAUCGUAGACCCGAUUGGCGCCUCCAUCUGCACAAAGGCGUAGUUGUGCGUGCUUCCAGAGGAGAGGAGUGAACCUUGGAAGGCGUUGGUUAAGCAAGACGAGGACGUAGGUAAGAGAAGGGCGGUGGUCGCCGGAGAUCGUGGGGAGGAGGAAAGUGGAAGAAUGGGCCAUGAGGUCCAUUUGGCCUGCUGUCUAGAAGGAGAAGCUCGCCAGGAAGUGGAAGAAAAAAUAACAAGGUCUGGCUUUCUAUUUUGGCAAACCAUCGUGCCCAAGCAUAAUAUCUAGGAGGAAUUGGUUUGGUUAAAAGUCAAACUACGACUCUCCUCCGGCCCCAUUUUCACUCUCUCUGCACGCCAA